rnacentral:tRNA from 1 species
AGCUUUAUAGUCAAAAUAAAUGAUUUUAAAUUGCAAGUUUAAAGUUGGUUUAAAACCUAAGGCUU